CAUAAAACCUAACACGCAUGGUGUAGGGUUGAAAGAUGGUUUCGGCUAUCACUUUAGGAUGGACCCGCGGCGCAUUAGUUAGUUGGUGAGGUAAAGGCUCACCAAGACCGUGAUGCAUAGCCGACCUGAGAGGGUAAUCGGCCACACUGGGACUGAGACACGGCCCAGACUCCUACGGGAGGCAGCAGUAGGGAAUCUUCCACAAUGGACGAAAGUCUGAUGGAGCAACGCCGCGUGAGUGAAGAAGGUUUUCGGAUCGUAAAACUCUGUUGUUGGAGAAGAAUGUAUCUGAUAGUAACUGAUCAGGUAGUGACGGUAUCCAACCAGAAAGCCACGGCUAACUACGUG
rnacentral:rRNA from 1 species